rnacentral:misc_RNA from 1 species
GUAGGUGAACCUGCGGAAGGAUCAUUACCGAAUCGUCAAACACGGGUUGUUGCUGGCCCCCCAAACGGGGCAUGUGCACGCUCUGUUUACACAUCCACUCACACCUGUGCACCCUCUGUAGUUCUGUGGUUCGGAAGACCCCGUCUUCCUUCCGUAGCUCUACGUCUUUACACACACACUGUAGUGACGUCUCAUGGAAUGUUUUUAUGCGUUUAACGCGAUACAAUACAACUUUCAGCAACGGAUCUCU